CGAGGGGGCGGGAUGAGGGAUGAGGGAGGAUCACGGGUAGUCCCCGCCCCCGGAGCCGUGCCGGUUGCCUUAUAAGGGGCGGGGCGGGGCGCGCUCAUUCAUGCGCGCAGAGAGGGGCGGGUCCAUCGGUGGUUUCGCCCCCGCCCGUGGCGCGCAUUCUACGCUGCAGCGGCAGCCCAGCCGGGAGGAGCGGCCCGGCCCGGUACUCGCAUGACACAUGGCGGCUUCCAGCCUGCGCCGGAGAUAUGGAUUGAACUUUAGUCUCCGAGCAAUUAAGGUGCCUGAAACUGCACUUCAUUAAUGGUUGUUAUGCAAUAAAACCGAUAAAACUGCC